rnacentral:snRNA from 1 species
UGGAGGCAACACAGUUCCACU